rnacentral:rRNA from 1 species
UUCCGGUUGAUCCUGCCGGAGGCCAUUGCUAUCGGGGUCCGAUUUAGCCAUGCUAGUCGCACGGGUUCAGACCCGUGGCGAACAGCUCAGUAACACGUGGCCGAACUACCCUGCGGAUCGUCAUAACCUCGGGAAACUGAGGACAAUAACGAAUAUCGCUCCCACGCUUGAAUGCGGGGAGCGAGAAACGCUCCGGCGCCGUAGGAUGUGGCUGCGGCCGAUUAGGUAGACGGUGGGGUAACGGCCCCACCGUGCCGAUAAUCGGUACGGGUGGUGAGAGCCAGAGCCCGGAGAUGGAAUCUGAGACAAGAUUCCAGGCCCUACGGGGCGCAGCAGGCGCGAAACCUUUACACUGCGCGAAAGCGCGAUAAGGGGACCCCGAGUGCGAGGGCGUACAGUCCUCGCUUUUGUACACCGUAAGGAGGUGUACGGAUAAGGGCUGGGCAAGACCGGUGCCAGCCGCCGCGGUAAUACCGGCAGCUCAAGUGAUGGCCAAUAUUAUUGGGCCUAAAGCGUCCGUAGCCGGCCGAACAAGUCCGUCGGGAAAUCCAUCCGCUUAACGGAUGGGCGUCCGGCGGAAACUGUUCGGCUUGGGGCCGGAAGAUCCGAGGGGUACGUCCGGGGUAGGAGUGAAAUCCUGUAAUCCUGGACGGACCGCCGGUGGCGAAAGCGCCUCGGAAGGACGGACCCGACGGUGAGGGACGAAAGCUAGGGGUCUCGAAACCGGAUUAGAUACCCGGGUAGUCCUAGCCGUAAACGAUGCCCGCUAGGUGUGGCGCAGGCUACGAGCCUGCGCUGUGCCGUAGGGAAGCCGUGAAGCGGGCCGCCUGGGAAGUACGUCCGCAAGGAUGAAACUUAAAGGAAUUGGCGGGGGAGCACUACAACCGGAGGAGCCUGCGGUUUAAUUGGACUCAACGCCGGA